GAUGAAGAAGCAGCGAAAUGCGAUAAGUAAUGCGAAUUGCAGAAUUCAGUGAGUCAUCGAAUCUUUGAACGCACAUUGCGCCCUGUGGUAUUCCGCAGGGCAUGCCUGUUCGAGCGUCAUUUCAACCCUCAAGCUCUGCUUGGUGUUGGGCCACGCCCUCGCGGCCGGCCCCAAAGCCAGUGGCGGCGCCGUCCGGCUCUAAGCGUAGUACAUCUCUCGCUCUAGGGCCCGGCGGCUGCCUGCCAGAACCCCAAACUCUUAUGGUUGACCUCGGAUCAGGUAGGGAUACCCGCUGAACUUAAGCAUAUCAAUAAGCGGAGGA
rnacentral:misc_RNA from 1 species